CACGUGGGUUACCUGCCCCGAUGAUUGGGACAACCCGAGGAAACUCGGGCUAAUACCAAAUGUGCUCCUGGCCAUGAUGGCCUUGAGGAAAGGAAGCUUCGGCCUCCGCAUCGGGAUGGGCCCGCGGCCCAUUAGCUAGUUGGUGGGGUAACGGCCUACCAAGGCGACGAUGGGUAGCUGGUCUGAGAGGACGAUCAGCCACACUGGGACUGAGACACGGCCCAG
rnacentral:rRNA from 1 species